GACGAACGCUGGCGGCGUGCCUAAUACAUGCAAGUUGAGCGCUGAAGGUUGGUACUUGUACCAACUGGAUGAGCAGCGAACGGGUGAGUAACGCGUGGGGAAUCUGCCUUUGAGCGGGGGACAACAUUUGGAAACGAAUGCUAAUACCGCAUAAAAACUUUAAACACAAGUUUUAAGUUUGAAAGAUGCAAUUGCAUCACUCAAAGAUGAUCCCGCGUUGUAUUAGCUAGUUGGUGAGGUAAAGGCUCACCAAGGCGAUGAUACAUAGCCGACCUGAGAGGGUGAUCGGCCACAUUGAGACUGAGACACGGCCCAAACUCCUACGGGAGGCAGCAGUAGGGAAUCUUCGGCAAUGGACGAAAGUCUGACAGAGCAACGCCGCGUGAGUGAAGAAGGUUUUCGGAUCGUAAAACUCUGUUGGUAGAGAAGAACGUUGGUGAGAGUGGAAAGCUCAUCAAGUGACGGUAACUACCCAGAAAGGGACGGCUAACUACGUG
rnacentral:rRNA from 1 species